GCAAAUUAUUUUAUAACCACCAUAAAACCUAUUUCAAUGGUUAUUAUCGAUUUAAAUUUUUACACUUGGAACAGCUUUAGAGUUUAUUUUCGGUUUUAUUUAUAAUGCCCAUGAAGUAGUAGAGACAACAAAAAAACCGGGCGAGAGUCAAGUUACCGAGAAGUAGGAAUGAAGAUAUCAUUUUAGAUGAUCGUGCAUACGGCCUGAAUGCAGUUUGAAUUUUGAGAGAAUUCUGUAUAGAUGGAGACCACUGCUAUGAGUCUGAGACCACUGCUGAGCACUUUCGCCGCAUAAAUGUGCAAAAGAAACUACACAUGGUUUAAAAAUUAGAGCUCCAUAUUAUUCAUAGAAUGUUUAUAAAUGUCGAUGUGUUUUAUAAUAUCUAUCAUUAAAAAGCCCUGGAAUUUUACUUUAUUAGCCUGAAAAUUAUCGAGAAGUAUGCUGAUGUCUAUGCAAAAUUCAAAGAUGAGUACAAUAAUAAAAAUGCA